UACGAAGGGGGCUAGCGUUGCUCGGAAUGACUGGGCGUAAAGAGCUCGUAGGCGGUCUGUCGCGUCGAUCGUGAAAACUUGGGGCUUAACCCUGAGCUUGCGGUCGAUACGGGCAUGACUGGAGUUCGGCAGGGGAGACUGGAAUUCCUGGUGUAGCGGUGAAAUGCGCAGAUAUCAGGAGGAACACCGGUGGCGAAGGCGGGUCUCUGGGCCGAUACUGACGCUGAGGAGCGAAAGCGUGGGGAGCGAACAGG
rnacentral:rRNA from 1 species